rnacentral:lncRNA from 10 species
AGAUUACUUCCUCCUUCUUGGCCCCAGAUGCACUUGGUUGCACGCUCUGGUUCCCAAACCCCCGGCCGCUGGCUUAUGCAAAUCACUUAGGUACAUGCAAAAGUAUCCCUUCUCCCGGAGCGCCAUUGGCCCGGGGAGGUCUCGAGCUCAUUACUAUGCAGAGAGGAGAGCCGCCAUUGGCCAAGAGGAGGACCAGAGGGGCGUGUUUCUCGGGCAAAUUGGAUCUCCUAAAUUGGAUGACCUGGCUAAUGUUAAAACAUACUUCGUGAUCUGUAGAACGUAAGAGAAAAUUUAGAAAAUGUUUGAUAUGAAAGAGAAAAUGAAGGAUGUUGCGAUAAUAGGGAAAAACUUUAUAGUAAUUCUACCAAUUUGCCCCUUUUAUUCUAAAAUAACACAAACUUGUCAAGCUUUUCAACAUUUUUUGAAUUUUUUUUUUUUUUUUUUGAGAUGGAGUUUCACUCUGUUGCCCA